GACAGAGGUGCCGAGCGUUAGGCGGAAUCACUGGGCUUAAAGCGUGUGUAGGCGGGCCGUUAAGUGCCCCGUGAAAUCCCCCGGCUCAACCGGGGAACGGCGGGGCAUACUGGCGGCCUUGAGCCACUUAAGGGCAGACGGAACAAACGGUGGAGCGGUGAAAUGCGUAGAUAUCGGGAGGAACACCAGUGGCGAAGGCGACUACCUGGCCUGUUCUUGACGCUGAGGCGCGAAAGCUAGGGGAGCAAACGGG
rnacentral:rRNA from 1 species